GGAGGUUGGGUUGAUCAAAAUGGCACUGAUUUGAUCGAGAUUUUAAAGAUGAACCAGCAUCCUUUGCGAUGGACGAUGUUUGAUGGUAAACUGCCCGCCAAGUUAUCUGCUCAUGACGUCACAGUUUACCAAGAUCAAUUAUAUAUCAUAGGAGGAGAUAACUGGAAUGAAAACAAACCAUCCGAUGCAAUUUAUGAACUAUCCCUUGCCCC